rnacentral:rRNA from 1 species
UGAAUACGAGACGCUAAGGCGUCGAAGUAGUGUAUGUCAUACUUCCAAGAAAAGCUUGCACUGUCAUAGAUAAAAAACGCCUGUACCAUAACCGACACAGGUGGGUAGGUAGAGUAUACUAAGGGGCGCGAGAUAACUCUCUCUAAGGAACUCGGCAAAAUGACUCCGUAACUUCGGGAGAAGGAGUGCCUUAUUCUUAAGGUUGCAAUAACAAGAUCCAAGCAACUGUUUAUCAAAAACACAGGUCUCCGCUAAGUCGUAAGACGAUGUAUGGGGGCUGACGCCUGCCCAGUGCCAGAAGGUUAAAGAAGUUGGUUAGCAUUUGCGAAGCUGAUAACUGAAGCCCUGGUGAACGGCGGCCGUAACAAUAACGGUCCUAAGGUAGCGAAAUUCCUUGUCGGGUAAGUUCCGACCCGCACGAAAGGCGUAAUGAUUUGGAUACUGUCUCGGAGAGGGGCUCGGUGAAAUAGACUUGUCUGUGAAGAUGCGGACUACCUGCACCAGGACAGAAAGACCCUAUGAAGCUUUACUGUAACUUGAAAUUGAAAUUGGACUUUAUUCGCGCAGUAUAGGUGGGAGGCGUUGAUUAUAAUCUUGCGGGAUUAUUGGAGCCAUCAGUGAGAUACCACCCUUGUAAUGUUAGAUCUCUAACUUUGAAUCAUUAUCUGGUCAAAGAACAGUUUCAGGCGGGCAGUUUGACUGGGGCGGUCGCCUCCUAAACGGUAACGGAGGCGUACAAAGGUUUCCUCUGAACGGUUAGAAAUCGUAUCUAGAGUGUAAAGGCAUAAGGAAGCUUGACUGUGAGACCUACAAGUCGAGCAGGGACGAAAGUCGGUCUUAGUGAUCUGACGGUACUGAGUGGAAAGGCCGUCACUCAACGGAUAAAAGUUACUCUAGGAUAACAGGCUGAUCUCCCCCAAGAGUUCACAUCGACGGGGAGGUUUGGCACCUCGAUGUCGGCUCAUCGCAUCCUGGGGCGGUAGUACGUCCCAAGGGUUGGGCUGUUCGCCCAUGAAAGCGGUACGCGAGCUGGGUUCAGAACGUCGUGAGACAGUUCGGUCCAUAUCCGGUGUAGGCGUUAGAAUAUUGAGAGGAGCCUUCUUUAGUACGAGAGGACCGAGAAGGACAUACCUCUGGUGUACCAGUUAUCGUGCCAACGGUAAACGCUGGGUAGCUAUGUAUGGAGUGGAUAACCGCUGAAAGCAUCUAAGUGGGAAGCCCACCUCAAGAUAAG